rnacentral:rRNA from 1 species
AUGAACGCUGGCGGCGUGCCUAAUACCUGCAAGUCGAGCGAACAGACGAGGAGCUUGCUCCUCUGACGUUAGCGGCGGACGGGUGAGUAACACGUGGAUAACCUACCUAUAAGACUGGGAUAACUUCGGGAAACCGGAGCUAAUACCGGAUAAUAUAUUGAACCGCAUGGUUCAAUAGUGAAAGACGGUUUUGCUGUCACUUAUAGAUGGAUCCGCGCCGCAUUAGCUAGUUGGUAAGGUAACGGCUUACCAAGGCGACGAUGCGUAGCCGACCUGAGAGGGUGAUCGGCCACACUGGAACUGAGACACGGUCCAGACUCCUACGGGAGGCAGCAGUAGGGAAUCUUCCGCAAUGGGCGAAAGCCUGACGGAGCAACGCCGCGUGAGUGAUGAAGGUCUUCUGAUCGUAAAACUCUGUUAUUAGGGAAGAACAAAUGUGUAAGUAACUAUGCACGUCUUGACGGUACCUAAUCAGAAAGCCACGGCUAACUACGUG